rnacentral:rRNA from 1 species
GAAAGCAGGGGAUCGCAAGACCUUGCGCUGAUUGAGCGGCCGAUAUCAGAUUAGCUAGUUGGUGAGGUAAAGGCUCACCAAGGCGACGAUCUGUAGCGGGUCUGAGAGGAUGAUCCGCCACACUGGAACUGAGACACGGUCCAGACUCCUACGGGAGGCAGCAGUGGGGAAUUUUGGACAAUGGGCGCANNNCUGAUCCAGCCAUGCCGCGUGAGUGAAGAAGGCCUUCGGGUUGUAAAGCUCUUUCAGCCGGGAAGAAAACGCAUGGGUUAAUACCCUGUGUGGAUGACGGUACCGGAAUAAGAAGCACCGGCUAACUACGUGCCAGCAGCCGCGGUAAUACGUAGGGUGCGAGCGUUAAUCGGAAUUACUGGGCGUAAAGCGUGCGCAGGCGGUUUGUUAAGAUAGGCGUGAAAUCCCCGGGCUCAACCUGGGAACUGCGUUUAUGACUGGCAAGCUAGAGUAUGGCAGAGGGGGGUGGAAUUCCACGUGUAGCAGUGAAAUGCGUAGAGAUGUGGAGGAACACCGAUGGCGAAGGCAGCCCCCUGGGCCAAUACUGACGCUCAUGCACGAAAGCGUGGGUAGCAAACAGGAUUAGAUACCCUGGUAGUCCACGCCCUAAACGAUGUCAACUAGGUGUUGGGAGGGUAAAACCUUUUAGUACCGGAGCUAACGCGUGAAGUUGACCGCCUGGGGAGUACGGCCGCAAGGUUAAAACUCAAAGGAAUUGACGGGGACCCGCACAAGCGGUGGAUGAUGUGGAUUAAUUCGAUGCAACGCGAAAAACCUUACCUACCCUUGACAUGUCCGGAAGCCCUUAGAGAUUUGGGUGUGCUCGAAAGAGAGCCGGAACACAGAUGCUGCAUGGCUGUCGUCAGCUCGUGUCGUGAGAUGUUGGGUUAAGUCCCGCAACGAGCGCAACCCUUGUCGUUAAUUGCCAUCAUUUAGUUGGGCACUUUAACGAGACUGCCGGUGACAAACCGGAGGAAGGUGGGGAUGACGUCAAGUCCUCAUGGCCCUUAUGGGUAGGGCUUCACACGUCAUACAAUGGUCGGUACAAAGGGUCGCCAACCCGCGAGGGGGAGCCAAUCCCAGAA